rnacentral:tRNA from 1 species
UGGCUGAGACGGUAAAGUGUCUGCCUGCAAUGCGGGAGACCCAGGUUCGAUUCCUGG